GGGUUGUGAGGUUAAGCGACUAAGCGUACACGGUGGAUGCCCUGGCAGUCAGAGGCGAUGAAGGACGUGCUAAUCUGCGAAAAGCGUCGGUAAGGUGAUAUGAACCGUUAUAACCGGCGAUGUCCGAAUGGGGAAACCCAGUGCAAUUCGUUGCACUAUCGUUAACUGAAUACAUAGGUUAACGAGGCGAACCGGGGGAACUGAAACAUCUAAGUACCCCGAGGAAAAGAAAUCAACCGAGAUUCCCCCAGUAGCGGCGAGCGAACGGGGAGCAGCCCAGAGUCUGAAUCAGCUUGUGUGUUAGUGGAACGGUCUGGAAAGUCCGACGGUACAGGGUGAUAGUCCCGUACACCAAAAUGCACAGGCUGUGAACUCGAAGAGUAGGGCGGGACACGUGGUAUCCUGUCUGAAUAUGGGGGGACCAUCCUCCAAGGCUAAAUACUCCUGACUGACCGAUAGUGAACCAGUACCGUGAGGGAAAGGCGAAAAGAACCCCGGCGAGGGGAGUGAAAAAGAACCUGAAACCGUGUACGUACAAGCAGUGGGAGCACCUUCGGGUGUGACUGCGUACCUUUUGUAUAAUGGGUCAGCGACUUAUAUUCUGUAGCAAGGUUAACCGUAUAGGGGAGCCGCAGGGAAACCGAGUCUUAACUGGGCGUUAAGUUGCAGGGUAUAGACCCGAAACCCGGUGAUCUAGCCAUGGGCAGGUUGAAGGUUGGGUAACACUAACUGGAGGACCGAACCGACUAAUGUUGAAAAAUUAGCGGAUGACUUGUGGCUGGGGGUGAAAGGCCAAUCAAACCGGGAGAUAGCUGGUUCUCCCCGAAAGCUAUUUAGGUAGCGCCUCGUGAACUCAUCUUCGGGGUAGAGCACUGUUUCGGCUAGGGGGUCAUCCCGACUUACCAACCCGAUGCAAACUACGAAUACCGAAGAAUGUUAUCACGGGAGACACACGGCGGGUGCUAACGUCCGUCGUGAAGAGGGAAACAACCCAGACCGCCAGCUAAGGUCCCAAAGUCAUGGUUAAGUGGGAAACGAUGUGGGAAGGCACAGACAGCCAGGAUGUUGGCUUAGAAGCAGCCAUCAUUUAAAGAAAGCGUAAUAGCUCACUGGUCGAGUCGGCCUGCGCGGAAGAUGUAACGGGGCUAAACCAUGCACCGAAGCUGCGGCAGCGACACUAUGUGUUGUUGGGUAGGGGAGCGUUCUGUAAGCCUGCGAAGGUGUGCUGUGAGGCAUGCUGGAGGUAUCAGAAGUGCGAAUGCUGACAUAAGUAACGAUAAAGCGGGUGAAAAGCCCGCUCGCCGGAAGACCAAGGGUUCCUGUCCAACGUUAAUCGGGGCAGGGUGAGUCGACCCCUAAGGCGAGGCCGAAAGGCGUAGUCGAUGGGAAACAGGUUAAUAUUCCUGUACUUGGUGUUACUGCGAAGGGGGGACGGAGAAGGCUAUGUUAGCCGGGCGACGGUUGUCCCGGUUUAAGCAUGUAGGCUGAUUGUCCAGGCAAAUCCGGAUAAUCAAGGCUGAGGUGUGAUGACGAGGCACUACGGUGCUGAAGUAACAAAUGCCCUGCUUCCAGGAAAAGCCUCUAAGCAUCAGGUAACAUCAAAUCGUACCCCAAACCGACACAGGUGGUCAGGUAGAGAAUACCAAGGCGCUUGAGAGAACUCGGGUGAAGGAACUAGGCAAAAUGGUGCCGUAACUUCGGGAGAAGGCACGCUGGUGUGUAGGUGAAGUCCCUGCGGAUGGAGCUGAGACCAGUCGAAGAUACCAGCUGGCUGCAACUGUUUAUUAAAAACACAGCACUGUGCAAACACGAAAGUGGACGUAUACGGUGUGACGCCUGCCCGGUGCCGGAAGGUUAAUUGAUGGGGUUAUCCGUAAGGAGAAGCUCUUGAUCGAAGCCCCGGUAAACGGCGGCCGUAACUAUAACGGUCCUAAGGUAGCGAAAUUCCUUGUCGGGUAAGUUCCGACCUGCACGAAUGGCGUAAUGAUGGCCAGGCUGUCUCCACCCGAGACUCAGUGAAAUUGAACUCGCUGUGAAGAUGCAGUGUACCCGCGGCAAGACGGAAAGACCCCGUGAACCUUUACUAUAGCUUGACACUGAACAUUGAGCCUUGAUGUGUAGGAUAGGUGGGAGGCUUUGAAGCGUGGACGCCAGUCUGCGUGGAGCCAACCUUGAAAUACCACCCUUUAAUGUUUGAUGUUCUAACGUUGGCCCCUGACCGGGGUUGCGGACAGUGUCUGGUGGGUAGUUUGACUGGGGCGGUCUCCUCCCAAAGCGUAACGGAGGAGCACGAAGGUUAGCUAAUCCUGGUCGGACAUCAGGAGGUUAGUGCAAUGGCAUAAGCUAGCUUGACUGCGAGCGUGACGGCGCGAGCAGGUGCGAAAGCAGGUCAUAGUGAUCCGGUGGUUCUGAAUGGAAGGGCCAUCGCUCAACGGAUAAAAGGUACUCCGGGGAUAACAGGCUGAUACCGCCCAAGAGUUCAUAUCGACGGCGGUGUUUGGCACCUCGAUGUCGGCUCAUCACAUCCUGGGGCUGAAGUAGGUCCCAAGGGUAUGGCUGUUCGCCAUUUAAAGUGGUACGCGAGCUGGGUUUAGAACGUCGUGAGACAGUUCGGUCCCUAUCUGCCGUGGGCGCUGGAGAAUUGAGGGGGGCUGCUCCUAGUACGAGAGGACCGGAGUGGACGCAUCACUGGUGUUCGGGUUGUCAUGCCAAUGGCACUGCCCGGUAGCUAAAUGCGGAAGAGAUAAGUGCUGAAAGCAUCUAAGCACGAAACUUGCCCCGAGAUGAGUUCUCCCUGAGACUUUAAGUCUCCUGAAGGAACGUUAAAGACGAUGACGUUGAUAGGCCGGGUGUGUAAGCGCAGCGAUGCGUUGAGCUAACCGGUACUAAUGAACCGUGAGGCUUAACCUUACAACGCCGAAG
rnacentral:rRNA from 1 species